AACGUGCCCUUAGGAGGAGGAUAAUCUCGGGAAAUUGAGGAUAAUACUCCAUAGGUCACGGGGUCUGGAACGACCCGUGGCCGAAAGCCCCGGCGCCUAAGGAUCGCUCUGCGGCUUAUCAGGUCGUAGUGGGUGUAACGUACCCCCUAGCCGACGACGAGUAUGGUCCUUGAGAGAGGGAGCCCAGAGUUGGAUUCUGAGACACGAAUCCAGGCCCUACGGGGCGCAGCAGUCGCGAAAACUUCACACUGGGGGCAACUCUUUUUGAGGGAAUUCCUAGUGCCAGGGCCUCUGGUCCUGGCUUUUCUCCGGCGUAGACGACCGGAGGAAUAAGGGCUGGGUAAGACGGGUGCCAGCCGCCGCGGUAAUACCUGCAGCCCGAGUGGUGGUCGAUUUUAUUGAGUCUAAAACGUUCGUAGCCGGCCCGGUAAUCCCUGGGUAAAUCGGGAAGCUCAACUUCCCGAAUUCCGGGAGACUGCCGGGCUUGGGACCGGGAGAGGCUAGAGGUACUUCUGGGGUAGGGGUAAAAUCCUGUAA
rnacentral:rRNA from 1 species